CUCAACUUCACUUUUCACUUCAACAAAAAUAGAACCCUUUCAUUCUCCUUUCUUCCUCUUCUUCUUUCUCUCAAUCUCGCCGGGAAAAUCUAACAGCCAUCGCCCCUCCUUUACAACCGAUCCUGCCACCGAGAAAAAACUUUCCAACGCCGCCUUCCUUGUUAAGCUACAACUGCCUCCGCCGCCUGCCACCGGAAAAACUUUACAACCGCCGCCGCUUGCACCGGGAAAACCUUUUGUUGCCAAGAACCGUCGCUGCCGGCAACUGGGAAAAAAACUCACCUAUGCUCUUUUCUUAAAUAUAGUUUUUAAUUAAAGUUUCAGUUAACCAAGAUCUUGGUGUUAUUGAGAUGAAGUUUCAUAUUUCAUUCGACAUCUUCUAUUUUGUAAGUUAAUUAGAUGAAUAUAUUGUUGAAGGAAGAAUCAUCUCGAAGGAAGCUCUUAUAGUGGUACUAAAAUGUAUACAUUUGUUUGUUUUUUGCAUUUUUUUUAACGGUUAAACUACAAAAAUGAAAAAAUUGUUACAAAAAUAGGUGGUGUAAGAUUGAAAGGAUGUAUGUAUUAUAUGAAAAUAAUGUAACUAUUGUAUAUUGUAUAUUUGUAUGGGUAAAUAUAU